UUUUCAAUCUUGCAACAAAUCAAUGAGUGCUGGUACAUGAUGUACUGAAGGAAGGGAUCAACACAAGUGAGAAUUUCCAAGUUGAGGCCCUAAUAAAAAAAUUGCCCUGAUAGUUGAAGGAUUAUAAUAAGAUGACUCUAUACACAAGCGUACGUUAGGAGACGAUGAUCUAAACGUGUACAUUAGGAGACAAUGAAAACCUGAGAAGAGCAAGGACAAAACAUCCAAGUGAAAUUUGGUCGAGUCCAAGGCCAAGGAGGAAAAGUCCUACAAAAUGGAAACGGCCCUAGAAAAGGUUUCUUGCAAGGGACCCCACAAUAAUUUCAAGGGUCUAGGCAACUAGGAGUUCAAGAAUAAGAAAAGAUACUGCUUUGUCUGCGGUAAGUAUGGACACCAUCUCAGCGAAUGCAGAUUCUGAAUACCUAGAAUUCAACCAAGCUGCAUGACUACUUAACACAAGCCGAGGAAGUCCUGGUUUUGGGUGGAAAAGAGUGGGUGGCGGACAAUAGAGCCACCAAGCAUAUCUGUAGUCAAAGAGAGAUGUUCAUUUCGUGUAUGUCUACCUAGAAGACACAAGAACCUCUCCAGUUGGCAGGAAUUGGUCCUCUGCAGCCCAAAGCAUGGGUGAGAAGGCACUAAAAUGCAUGGUGAGAAGAGUCAGAUGACACAGCACUGCAUCGACACUUUUGUAAUCAGGUUUGUACUAAAUCUACUUGCUACCCUUGUUUAAUUUUGUGAAAUAUGUACAAAAUAUAGUGACUGAACAUCCUUUAAUAUGAAAUCCCCCAUGUUGAUCCUGUGAACUGCUUUAAAUCUCUUAUACCUCUAUAAAAUGCCCAUGUGAUGGGUGGUCCCUGAGGGGUACUGUUCUUUACAUCAUCAGAUGUUGGUCAUGGAGUUAUUGGCAGUAUGCUGACACUUUUCUUGGUAUUUGAUGGCAUCAAUGGUCCUUUAAAUAAAGGCAAAUCUGAUGGCCCAAAACCCUUGCCAAGCUGACACGUUUUGGGUAUCAAUAAUCAUACUGUUGACAAAAUCAUCUUUUUUUUUUCCUCUCCCUCAAGCAGAAAUUAUGGUUCUCAUUCUGUCUAACCCGAAACAGAAAGGAACACUGUAUGCCGUUACCUCAAAGAUACUCUUUGUCUAUUAAUUGACAAAUGCUGGAUGAUAAUGAUCUCUAAGUAAUGAUAAUCGCUUAUUUUUCCUUUUA